rnacentral:rRNA from 1 species
CCUACGGGUGGCAGCAGUGAGGAAUAUUGGUCAAUGGACGAAAGUCUGAACCAGCCAAGUAGCGUGAAGGAUGACUGCCCUAUGGGUUGUAACCUUCUUUUAUAAAGGACUAAAACGAGGCACGUGUGCCUUUUUGCAUGUACUUUAUGAAUAAGGAUCGGCUAACUCCGUGCCAGCAGCCGCGGUAAUACGGAGGAUCCGAGCGUUAUCCGGAUUUAUUGGGUUUAAAGGGGCCGUAGAUGGGUUGUUACGUCAGUUGUGAAAGUUUGCGGCUCAACCGUAAAAUUGCAAUUGAUACUGGCAGUCUUGAGUACAGUUGAGGUAGGCGGAAUGCGGGGUGUAGCGGUGAAAUGCUUAGAUAUCACGAAGAACUCCGAUUGCGAAGGCAGCUUACUAAACUGCCACUGACAUUGAUGCUCGAAAGUGUGGGUAUCAAACAGGAUUAGAUACCCCAGUAGUC